UUGCUCUGGCAGCACAUAUACUAAAAUCAGAACAAUACAGAGAAGAUUAGCAUGGGCACAGCACAAGGAUGACACAAAAUUUUGUUAAGCAUUCCACUGAGCU
ensembl:snRNA U6 U6 spliceosomal RNA